rnacentral:rRNA from 1 species
UGAGUUUGAUCCUGGCUCAGGACGAACGCUGGCGGCGUGCCUAAUACAUGCAAGUCGAGCGAAUUGAUGGGAGCUUGCUCCCUGAGAUUAGCGGCGGACGGGUGAGUAACACGUGGGUAACCUGCCUGUAAGAUUGGGAUAACUCCGGGAAACCGGAGCUAAUACCGGAUAAUAUUUUGAACCGCAUGGUUCGAAAUUGAAAGAUGGCUUCUAGCUAUCACUUACAGAUGGACCCGCGGCGCAUUAGCUAGUUGGUGAGGUAAUGGCUCACCAAGGCAACGAUGCGUAGCCGACCUGAGAGGGUGAUCGGCCACACUGGGACUGAGACACGGCCCAGACUCCUACGGGAGGCAGCAGUAGGGAAUCUUCCGCAAUGGACGAAAGUCUGACGGAGCAACGCCGCGUGAACGAUGAAGGCCUUCGGGUCGUAAAGUUCUGUUGUUAGGGAAGAACAAGUACCA